rnacentral:rRNA from 1 species
CAGUAGCCGCGGGAAUACAGAGGAUGCAAGCGUUAUCCGGAAUGAUUGGGCGUAAAGCGUCUGUAGGUGGCUUUUCAAGUCCGCCGUCAAAUCCCAGGGCUCAACCCUGGACAGGCGGUGGAAACUACCAAGCUGGAGGACGGUAGGGGCAGAGGGAAUUUCCGGUGGAGCGAUGAAAUGCGUUGAGAUCGGAAAGAACACCAACAGCGAAGGCACUCUGUUGGGCCGACACUGACACUGAGAGACGAAAGUUAGGGGAGCAAAUGGGAUUAGAUACCCCCGUAGUCCCUGUCUCUUAUAC